UACGUAGGGUGCAAGCGUUAAUCGGAAUUACUGGGCGUAAAGCGUGCGCAGGCGGUUUUGUAAGACAGAGGUGAAAUCCCCGGGCUUAACCUGGGAACUGCCUUUGUGACUGCAAAGCUUGAGUGCGGCAGAGGGGGAUGGAAUUCCGCGUGUAGCAGUGAAAUGCGUAGAUAUGCGGAGGAACACCGAUGGCGAAGGCAAUCCCCUGGGCCUGCACUGACGCUCAUGCACGAAAGCGUGGGGAGCAAACAGG
rnacentral:rRNA from 1 species